rnacentral:rRNA from 1 species
AGAGUUUGAUCCUGGCUCAGGAUGAACGCUGGCGGCGUGCCUAAUACAUGCAAGUGAAACGGGUAUCUUCGGAUACCAGUCGCGGACGGGUGAGUAAUACAUAGGCAACCUGCCUUUAUGAGGGGGAUAACCGAGGGAAACUUUGGCUAAUACCGCAUGAAGACUCUAAGGCAUCUUAGAGGGAUAAAAGUUGGGAAACAACGCAUGAAGAUGGGCUUAUGGCGCAUUAGCUAGUUGGUGAGAUAGAAGCCCACCAAGGUAAUGAUGCGUAGCCGACCUGAGAGGGUGAACGGCCACAUUGGGACUGAGACACGGCCCAAACUCCUACGGGAGGCAGCAGUAGGGAAUUUUCGGCAAUGGGGGGAACCCUGACCGAGCAACGCCGCGUGAAGGAAGAAGGUUUUCGGAUUGUAAACUUCUGUUAUAAGGGAAGAACGGAUUGGAUAGGGAAUGAUCUGAUAGUGACGGUACCUUAUUAGAAAGCCACGGCUAACUACGUGCCAGCCGCCGC